CUCUCUGAAAUUUAUUUCCGUUACUCUUUCUGCAUUACAGUGCUCAUUGCUCGGCAUACUUUUCAAGUACUUAAGCUGUACGCUAUAACUCGUAAUAUAUCUGAUUGACGGACAAAAUAAAUCGACAUUGUGAAAUAAGUAAAGUACAAUAAUAAGUUAUUUGGUGAGUAGUAAGAAGACACUGUAGAAAAAAUAUGAUUUAUAGUUAAACGUGCCAAGAUAAUUUAUCACUGGAUAUAAAUUUUAUAUAAUUUCACUUUUUUUUAAUAUAUAUUUCUAACUGGCUGAAGUAUUUUUAUUUGACUUACAUUUAAAUAACCAUUUUAUCUAUCAAUGUUUUUUUUUUUUUUUUUCCCACCAAAAAAUAAAAAAAAAAUUUGAUUGAUAUUAAAAGUGAAGCGGCGGGGAAUUACUUACACAGUGGAUUACUAUAAACGUGGGCAUAGAGAUUCAACAGAGAUAUAAAAGAAUUUAUAGAAUGAAAAGAAUACGUACGUAUAUAUGUGAGUAGAAAAAUAGAGACUUCAGUUGGAUAAUAUGAGAAAUAGUAAUUUUAAAAAUAACAAACAAAAUAAUACAAUAUGCACGCGCGCGCGUACAUACGUAAUUUAAAAUCCCAUUUAAAUAAGGGAGAUUUAAUUUAAAUAAUAACAACAAUAUACUUUAAUUAAUCGUGAACUCGAAUAAAUAGUUAUUUAUUUAAGUCUACUGCUCCAUAAUACAUAAUGUACAUAAUGUGAAUAGAGAAAAUGAAAGGAUAUGAGUGUAAAUUUAUAUAGAUUUAAAAGUAAACUUAAAAACAAAUACAAAUAUAUAUAUUAUAAUAUAUUUUUUAGUUACGAAUUAAAUAAAAUCAAUGCCAAGUGUAUUAUUUAUGAGGACACGACGUCAAAUGCAAAACUUCAAGCGCUGGAGUUACGCCUCCAAUCUACAAAAUUCAUUUUCUUUUAAAUAUAAACUCAGUCUUAGUUUCUUUGUGCUUUAAAUUUAAAACUAAAGACAAGGUAUUGACAUAAACGAUCAACAAAAUGGUUGCCAGCUACAGAGUAACUAAAAA